AUUGUAAGAUCUGUAACUUGCAUCAUUAAGUUCGGCAACCUUGUUGCAGACUUUGUAACUUCAGUUACUAUUCGCAUAGCCUUUUAAGUUCUGUAACCUUUGCAAGCUCUGUAACCUUUUCAAGUUACCACUUGUAUGAACUGCCAAGCUUUGUAAUAUCCCAUCACGCAAUCAGAGAGAGUGUGAACAAGGGAGUGUGUGUGUGGAAGAUAAGGGGGUGUGAACGAGGGAGUGUAUGGGGGACUGGGUGGAGAGGAACUGCAAGGAGAAAAGAGCCAGGUGUGUCUGAUAUAAUCUGCCCUGAGAAGGCAAUCACUGAGUGCUGUAAAGAAAAGAUGCAUAAAAGGAACAGGGACUGGGAAUGCUUCUCGGUGACGGAUACAGAAGAAAAACUCAGUGUACGAGACAGGAGUGCCCAGUUCCAAAAUAAAAGGAAGCAGCCACACACCCAAGCUGCUGCUCCUUGACCUGCUCACCAGCCCAGAUCCAUGACUGCAGUGGGACA